GAUUAUUAAAUUGAAUAUAUUUUUGGUUAAAUAUUUUUAUAAAAAUAUUUUAAUUUUCUAGUAUUUUUUGAAAUAAAUUUAUUUUCUAUAGUUUAAAGUACUGUUAAGGAAUUUUAAUAAUUAUUUAAAAGUACUUUUUUAAGGUACCUUUUGUAUCAGGGUAGAUUAACUUAUUUUAUAUAUUUUAAUUUUCUCGAAGUUUUAGGAUUUAUAAUCAUAUCUAAUAUAUUAUAUCAAAACUAUUUAUAAUAUGAUUAUAGAUGAGAUAUUCUUUUCAACUAAAAAUAUCUAGUUUUUUAAUAAAUAAAUUUAAUUUAUGAUCAAAAUUUUAUUUGAAUUUAAUUAUUUUUUUUGAUCAAAAUCUAAAUGGGAUAAUCUAUUUAGAUUUAGUGUAAGUUAUAAAAAAUAUUAUUUUUUGUAGGUUUAAAAUUGUCCAUCUUAUAUUUUUUUAUAAAAAGAAGUGUUUUUAUAUUUAUUUAUUUUACUUCACUUUUUUAUUAGAAAAAAUUAAUCAAUUUUUCCUUAAUUGAUAAAAUGAUUUAAUUAAUUUUUUUGCUAAAUAAGAAAUAGUAAUUCGGCAAAAUUGAUUUUCACCUGUUUAACAAAAACAUGUCUUUUUGGUUUUAUAAAAAGUUUGGCCUGCCCAAUGAUUUAUUUAAUGGCUGCAGUAUUUUGACUGUACAAAGGUAGCAUAAUCACUUGUCCUUUAAUUGAGGUCUGGAAUGAACGGUUGAAUGAAAAAUCUACUUUCUUUUUUUUAAAUUAAAAAUUUAAUCUUUUAGUUAAAAAGCUAAAAUAUAUUUAUAGGACGAGAAGACCCUUUAGAACUUUAUUUUUUAUAUAAAAAAUUUUUGUUGGUUAAUAAUGUAAUUUUUAUUGUAAAAUUUUGUUGGGGUGACAGAAAAAAAUUAAUAACUUUUUCUAUUUAUAUCAUACAUACAUGAAUAUUUGAUCCUUUUUUAGGAAUAGAAGAUUAAGUUACCUAAGGGAUAACAGCGUUAUUAUUUUAGAGAGUUCAUAUCGAUAAAAUAGUUUGCGACCUCGAUGUUGGAUUAUAAUAAAAUAUAGGAGCAGAAUAUUAUAUUUUGGGUCUGUUCGACCCUUAAAUUUUUACAUGAUCUGAGUUCAGACCGGCGUAAGCCAGGUUGGUUUCUAUCCAUAAUUAAUUUUUAAACUUUAGUACGAAAGGACCAUGUUUAAGGAAUAUUUUUAUUGUUUUUUUAUAUAAAAU
rnacentral:rRNA from 1 species